UUUUCGUUGUGAAUUGGAUCAAGCAAUAUUUUUGUGAUUUAAAACUCCAAUUAUCAGUGCACUCGUCCAGAAGCUUGCACACGGUUCAUACUUGGUUCAUCUCAAGAUCUACAUUCCUGUAAAGUUUAGUUAUAACUCUAAACUUCUAAACUGAAAAAGAUUAUCUUCUGAAAAAGAUAAUCAUGGUAUUUGCAUUCGCUUGAAAAAUACAGAUAGGUUGCAGCUAACACUAAACUCUGCAGAAAAAGAUAUCCAACACAUUAGCAUCACUUAUGAUCCCUGUCAGACCUGAGCAAAACCGUAAAGAUAUUUUCAUGGAGAUAACAGUAAAUGGCAACCAUGAAAACAUCAUUCAGUCCAGCUGUAAGAACUUUGGAAGCAUUCAAAUAUCCUGCUCUUUGUGGUGGUAUAUUUACUUUAAAUAUUACAGACAUAGAUUUUUUUGGUAUUUGUGGUAUUUGGUAUAAUGACAUUUUAGCAAAAGUAAAAAAAACGUAGCUAUGCAUACAAUUCACUGUAGUUUCCAGCUGAAAUGAACACUAGAGGCCGUAAUACACCAACAACCUUCAUUCCUUUUAACUCAAAUUAUGAUUACGGGGGCAGAUUAUUGAUUAAUAAUGACUUAACAUUGCCAUAUUCACGUUCAUGGAAGUGUAAUGAAAGGUGCAAGAAGCAACGCAAUAUCAUUUUGCAGAAAUGUCGCUACAGGUACGUAUUUUCAAUGGUUCUGACAGUAAUUCAAGUAAAUCGCAAUGUCUACAUGCCCGAGAUUUGACUUUGGUUUUGUGUCACAAUAUUUUCAGUAAAUAAACUGAUGAAUGAGGGUAUUUUGAUUGGAAAGGGAAACUUUGUGCCUUUUUCUAAUUAGCAAUACUGUCUAUUGAAGUUUACGUACAAUACACUAUUUUCUAGGUACAUUUGAUAGUAAGAGUUCACCUUUCAGAGCUUCAAAAAGAAAGGCACUUUAUUUAAAUAUGGAUAAUGGAAAAUAUGUACUAAAUGUGUAUAUAAUCGUAUAUUGAAUUAAACUUGUAUAAUUUACUGAUUUAAAACAAAUUAUGUUAUUGUAAAAGGAUGAAUAACAAAUGCUGCAUUUUUUAAGAAUAUUGUAUUUAAUGUAAAAUUUUGGCAUGUCAUUUUUAACUUCAGAUUUAUCCUUGUACAGUAUUUAUUGCUUUUGAUUUUUGUAACGCAUUGCUAUGAAGUGGAUAAUCAAAUAAUUCUAUGCACUAUAUAAAUCUGAGUUAUUUUGGAUUUCUGGUCUGUGAAAAGGAAAGCGCCAUACCACACACCGUUCUACUUCAAUAAUGUUUCUAAAGUCAUCUUUCGUUGUAUUAAACACUCUUUGGCCAGACAUAAUAAAUGUAA